rnacentral:rRNA from 1 species
AUGGCUCAGGACGAACGCUGGCGGCGUGCUUAACACAUGCAAGUCGAACGGAAAGGCCCUGCUUUUGUGGGGUGCUCGAGUGGCGAACGGGUGAGUAACACGUGAGUAACCUGCCCUUGACUUUGGGAUAACUUCAGGAAACUGGGGCUAAUACCGGAUAGGAGCUCCUGCUGCAUGGUGGGGGUUGGAAAGUUUCGGCGGUUGGGGAUGGACUCGCGGCUUAUCAGCUUGUUGGUGGGGUAGUGGCUUACCAAGGCUUUGACGGGUAGCCGGCCUGAGAGGGUGACCGGCCACAUUGGGACUGAGAUACGGCCCAGACUCCUACGGGAGGCAGCAGUGGGGAAUAUUGCACAAUGGGCGGAAGCCUGAUGCAGCAACGCCGCGUGCGGGAUGACGGCCUUCGGGUUGUAAACCGCUUUCGCCUGUGACGAAGCGUGAGUGACGGUAAUGGGUAAAGAAGCACCGGCUAACUACGUGCCAGCAGCCGCGGUGAUACGUAGGGUGCGAGCGUUGUCCGGAUUUAUUGGGCGUAAAGGGCCCGUAGGUGGUUGAUCGCGUCGGAAGUGUAAUCUUGGGGCUUAACCCUGAGCGUGCUUUCGAUACGGGUUGACUUGAGGAAGGUAGGGGAGAAUGGAAUUCCUGGUGGAGCGGUGGAAUGCGCAGAUAUCAGGAGGAACACCAGUGGCGAAGGCGGUUCUCUGGGCCUUUCCUGACGUGAGGGAGCGAAAGCGGGGGGAGCGAACAGGCUUUAGAUACCCUGGUAGUCCACGCUGUAAACGGUGGGUACUAGGUGUGGGGUCCAUUUCCACGGGUUCCGUGCCGUAGCUAACGCUUUAAGUACCCCGCCUGGGGAGUACGGCCGCAAGGCUAAAACUCAAAGGAAUUGACGGGGCCCCGCACAAGCGGCGGAGCAUGCGGAUUAAUUCGAUGCAACGCGUAGAACCUUACCUGGGUUUGACAUGGAUCGGGAGUGCUCAGAGAUGGGUGUGCCUCUUUUGGGGUCGGUUCACAGGUGGUGCAUGGCUGUCGUCAGCUCGUGUCGUGAGAUGUUGGGUUAAGUCCCGCAACGAGCGCAACCCUUGUUCACUGUUGCCAGCACGUUAUGGUGGGGACUCAGUGGAGACCGCCGGGGUCAACUCGGAGGAAGGUGGGGAUGACGUCAAGUCAUCAUGCCCCUUAUGUCCAGGGCUUCACGCAUGCUACAAUGGCUGGUACAGAGAGUGGCGAGCCUGUGAGGGUGAGCGAAUCUCGGAAAGCCGGUCUCAGUUCGGAUUGGGGUCUGCAACUCGACCUCAUGAAGUCGGAGUCGCUAGUAAUCGCAGAUCAGCAACGCUGCGGUGAAUACGUUCCCGGGGCUUGUACACACCGCCCGUCAAGUCAUGAAAGUUGGUAACACCCGAAGCCGGUGGCCUAACCGUUGUGGGGGAGCCGUCGAAGGUGGGACUGGUGAUU